ensembl:lncRNA
GGGAGGUCGGGGCCGGGGUCACGCGGCUCCGGGCUGCAGCUGCCGCCGUGGGGCGGGCGGGGGUCCCCGGCGGCCCCCCGGGCGUCGCGGCCGGCGGCGGCGGCGGCGGCGGCAGCCUCGGCAGGCAUUCCGGCGGCGCGGGCGGCCGCUGUCCUCGCGCGACCCCGACCCGUCCAGAGCGCGCCCCGGGCGACCCUCGAGGAGGAGCGAGGGGAACGAGUGCGGUCCGGGCGCCCGAGCAAGAAAAACACAGUAAAGGAAUUAAAGGCUUCCUACCUCUGUCCAGGAUACCCUUUGAUGUUUUCUCAAAUAGAGUCACACACUCAGCUGGGAUGAAAACUCGGAGGACACAAAGAAGUAGCUCCAGAAUUUAAAUGUACAUAUCACAGUCUACCGUCAAAUGCUGUACCACUUCACAUAUAAUGAUCUGAAACCAUCCGUGGGGCUCUUGGACGCACGCGUCUACACGGGGCUUUCCAGGGUGGCGUCUUCGCCGCGCACAGAAAUCCUGUUCCCUGGAGCCCUUUGCCGCGUUCCGCCGGGCCUCCCCCACCCACACUGCGCCCACCCCCGCUAAUGGGCAUGUUUCCGUGAACACUGAAGACGAAAAACAUGCGAUUUUGAAUGUGUCUCUUUCAUGGUCACACAUUUCUUUUCAUUGUGCGCCUUGGCUGAGCCACGCUUCCAAUUCCCAGGGACCCUCCUGGGCUCCGCUUGCAGAGCAUUGUUGCACUUCGACAGCCCCUCCCCCGAGAGCCAGAGGUCGCUGGACCCUGGAUUGUGUAGGGUGUCUCUGAAAGCACUCUCAAUAAAAAGCUCCGGGUCUUUGCCUCUGGUUUCCCUGUGCUGUUGGGGCUCUGAUCUGGCUGAUCCAAGAUUCGUUCCGCGGCCCUGCACACCCGGGUACUUCUUGAGACGCACCGGCUUCCAGAACUUUGCACAACACCGCGACCGCAAGCACUCCGGCUGAGGCCGUUUCCGGUUGCCUUCCUACAGGCCAGUCAUUUCCUGGCCCGGAGGCAUCUCC